rnacentral:rRNA from 1 species
UCCGCCAGGGGACUACAAGCAUAAGCUUAAAACCCAAAGGACUUGGCGGUGCUUUAGACCCACCUAGAGGAGCCUGUUCUAGAACCGAUAACCCUCGUUAAACCUCACCCUUUCUUGUUAAUAAACCGCCUAUAUACCGCCGUCGUCAGCUUACCUUGUGAAAGAACAAUAGUAAACAAAAACGGUUUAACCCAAAACGUCAGGUCGAGGUGUAGCGAAUGAAAGGGGAAGAAAUGGGCUACAUUCUCUGUAACAGAAAAUACGGAAUAUUAUCAUGAAAAAAUAUAUAAAGGAGGAUUUAGCAGUAAAUGGGAAAUAGAGUGCCCU